UGACAGUAGAAAAGUGAGCGGCAGUUGGGCAGAGGGGCCCUGAGGUAAACGCUGUGGGAGACUGACUGUGCUGUGAGGGGACAGCUGGCGGUGCCUGUGAGUGAGAGCAGAGAUUGAGCUGUGACCCUCUCAGGAGUCCUGUUGACGUCGGGCAUAAGGGGUCACUGAUCCGCCCCAGAGGGCAAGCAGAUGUAGAGCCCCUCGACCGAGGUGCAGUACGGAGGAAUGGCCUGCUCCAGUUUGAUAGCUGCAGGCUGAGAGACUGAGAGAGGCAGAUUGUGAGGCGGAGCCGCUUGCCAUAUAAGGCUGCAGGAGGCCAGUUACUACCCAGACAACUGGAGAGAAUCUCUGUGACCAUUAGCUGUGGAUAUUCUUUCUGAAUUACUUUGGUCUAACUCGUAAAUAAAUUCUUACCAUAUGA